rnacentral:rRNA from 1 species
UACGUAGGGGGCAAGCGUUGUCCGGAAUCAUUGGGCGUAAAGCGCGUGUAGGCGGUUCGAUAAGUCUGCUGUGAAAGUCCAGGGCUCAACCCUGGGAUGCCGGUGGAUACUGUCGAGCUAGAGUACGGAAGAGGCGAGUGGAAUUCCCGGUGUAGCGGUGAAAUGCGCAGAUAUCGGGAGGAACACCAAUUGCGAAGGCAGCUCGCUGGGCCAUUGCUGACGCUGAGGCGCGAAAGCGUGGGGAGCAAACAGG